UACGUAGGAUGCAAGCGUUGUCCGGAAUUAUUGGGCGUAAAGGGUGCGUAGGCGGUUUGGUAAGUCUUAUGUGAAAUCUACAGGCUCAACUUGUAGUCUGCAUGAGAAACUGCCGGGCUUGAGUAUGGGAGAGGUGAGUGGAAUUCCUGGUGUAGCGGUGAAAUGCGUAGAUAUCAGGAGGAACACCUGUGGCGAAAGCGGCUCACUGGACCAUAACUGACGCUGAUGCACGAAAGCUAGGGGAGCAAACAGG
rnacentral:rRNA from 1 species